AUCGGGUCACCAUAUUCUUUAAGUCUUAUUCAUUUAUAUCGGAUUUUUUUAAAUUCUUUAUUAGAAUUAUCCAUUUAACCAUCUUCUUGAACAUUUUCUUUAUAUUAUUAUAAUAUAGUUUAAUUUGGUUAAACAUAUCCUGUUAAUCAGCUUAGGAAAGAAAAAAAUGAAUCCUGAAAUCAACUCAGUCAACAUGAUGAAUUGCACUAGUAAAGUGUUUGAACUUAGAAGCUCUGCUAAAGAGCUAAUAUUGGAGCCAGGUGUGAUGAAGCAGAGAGACAUCUAAAAGUUGCAUCACAUUGGCCCUUGAGGACUAGAGUUGGAGAUCACUGGUCUGGACCAAGCAAAAUGAAAAACAAAAAAACAAGGAAGUAUGAUCAUGUUUAUG